rnacentral:snRNA from 1 species
AGCUUUGUGCAGUGGCAGUAUCAUAGCCAAUGAGGUUUAAUCGAGGUGCAAUUAUUGCUAAUAGAAAACUAUUUAGUCAAACA